GAGUGAGGGGGUGACUAGUGACGGAGUGAGGGAAGGGGUGACUAGUGGCAGAGUGAGGAAAGGAAAGGGUUAUUAGUGACAGAGUGAGGGAGGUGGUGACUGUCACCAGUCACCACCUCCCUCCUUCUGUCACUACUCCCUCCCUCCUUCUGUCACUAGUCACCCCCUCUGUCCCUUACUCUGUCACUAGUCACCCCCUAACUCACUCUGUCACUAGCCAUCCCCCUAACUCACUCUGUCACCAGUCAUCCGCUCACUCUGUCACCAGUCAUCCCUUCCUUCCCUCA
rnacentral:sRNA from 1 species